ACCUUCUCGACUCACGACUCCUGAGCCUUCUCCACUUUACGUAAUGAAAGCAAUGACCCUCGUGCUGGUGGUAACCGUGGUCCUGACGGCAUUGUUGGACGUGGAGGCUAUGCCAGAACCACUCCCGGAGCCGUUUCCAGAAGCAAUAGCCAGUCGUGGUGGCCAUUACAGCCGAUAUGGUAGCUACAGCGGUGGUCAUGGAAGGUAUGGCGGAGGUUACAGUGCACAUCGUACACCCUACCGCCCCUACCGUCGUGGAUACAGCGUCGUGGAGUACGAGACCUACCACUAAUAGAUUGAGACAAGUAACAUGCAAGAUACGAGAGCCGCAUCAAUGCCCGUGGCUUCAGUUUUCGACCAACUCCAAGAAAACUUGACUCUUCCAAAACCAUUACCACCGUUACGGUUCUGUUUCUUAUGACCCAAUAAAUUACCACUCAUUUAUGUUUUAUUGAAUGUAAAUAAAUUAAAAGAUGC